UACGUAGGGGGCAAGCGUUGUCCGGAAUUAUUGGGCGUAAAGAGCUCGUAGGCGGUUGGUCGCGUCGGCUGUGAAAACCCGGAGCUCAACUCCGGGCCUGCAGUCGAUACGGGCCGACUCGAGUGGUGCAGGGGAGACUGGAAUUCCUGGUGUAGCGGUGAAAUGCGCAGAUAUCAGGAGGAACACCGGUGGCGAAGGCGGGUCUCUGGGCACCAACUGACGCUGAGGAGCGAAAGCGUGGGGAGCGAACAGGAUUAGAAACCCCGGUAGUCC
rnacentral:rRNA from 1 species